UACGUAGGGUGCGAGCGUUGCCCGGAUUUAUUGGGCGUAAAGGGCGCGUAGGCGGUCAGCACAAGUCAGUUGUGAAAUCUCCGGGCUUAACUCGGAAAGGUCAACUGAUACUGUGCGACUAGAGUGCGGAAGGGGCAACUGGAAUUCUCGGUGUAGCGGUGAAAUGCGUAGAUAUCGAGAGGAACACCUGCGGCGAAGGCGGGUUGCUGGGCCGACACUGACGCUGAUGCGCGAAAGCCAGGGGAGCGAACGGG
rnacentral:rRNA from 1 species